rnacentral:rRNA from 1 species
GAUGAACGCUGGCGGCGUGCCUAAUACAUGCAAGUCGAGCGAGCGCACCAGACGCUUGCGCCUCUGAUGUUAUCGCCGGACGGGUGAGUAACACGUGGAUAAACUACCUAUGAGAAUGGGAUAACUUCGCGAAACCGGCGCUAAUGCCGGAUGAUAUUUUGACCCACAUGGUUCAAGAGUGAGAGACGGUCUUGCUGUCACUUAUAGAUGGCUCCGCGCUGCAUUAGCUAGUUGGUAAGGUAACGGCUUACCAAGGCAACGAUGCAUAGCCGACCUGAACGGGAGAUUGGAUACAUGGUAUCUGAGGAUGGGCCCAGACUCCUACGCGAGGAAGCAGUACGGACUCUUACGGGAGGCACGAAAGGCUGAUGGUGCAAAGCGGCGUAAAUGAUGAAGGUGCUAGGACCGGAAAACGAUGUAAGCCUUGAAGAAGUAAAGUGCAAUCAACUGUGAACAUAUUGACGGUACCUAAACAGAAAGCCACGGCUAACUCCGUG